rnacentral:rRNA from 1 species
GAUCAUGGCUCAGGAUGAACGCUAGCUACAGGCUUAACACAUGCAAGUCGAGGGGAAACGACAUCGUAAAGCUUGCUUUUGAAUGGGCGUCGACCGGCGCACGGGUGAGUAACGCGUAUCCAACCUGCCCACCACUUGGGGAUAACCUUGCGAAAGUAAGACUAAUACCCAAUGACAUCCCACGAAGACAUCUGAAAUGGGAUUAAAGAUUUAUCGGGUGAUGGAUGGGGAUGCGUCUGGAUUA